UGCAAAGGAAGGCUAAAGAUAUGCUAAAUAAACAGUAGGUAUCCAUAUUCUGACCCUUUAUCUUCUUGGACUUCUCCCACAAAAACUAGAUCUAGACGUCCAUGAUAUACAUUGAAGAAUCAUUUUAUCACUGCUUUUCGAUAGAAUCAAAAUACCACAGAUAUAUUUUAAAAAAAGUUGAAGUGGGUAAUGUGGGUCAUUUCACUCAAAUCAGACGUUUAACCAUGUUUCAUUAUGAGAUUAGAAGAAAAUAAAAAUGCUAAAACAGCAGUUAAAGAAAAACCAAAGGCGUUUUGGGUAGCCGAC
rnacentral:lncRNA from 1 species